GUCCACGCCCUAAACGAUGUCAACUAGUUGUCGGAGAAGCAAUUCUUUGGUAACGCAGCUAACGCGUGAAGUUGACCGCCUGGGGAGUACGGUCGCAAGAUUAAAACUCAAAGGAAUUGACGGGGACCCGCACAAGCGGUGGAUGAUGUGGAUUAAUUCGAUGCAACGCGAAAAACCUUACCUACCCUUGACAUGUCCUGAAUCCCGAUGAAAGUUGGGAGUGCCCGAAAGGGAACGGGAACACAGGUGCUGCAUGGCUGUCGU
rnacentral:rRNA from 1 species